AUAUCAAUAAGCGGAGGAAAAGAAACCAACAGGGAUUGCCUCAGUAACGGCGAGUGAAGCGGCAACAGCUCAAAUUUGAAAUCUGGCUCUUUCAGGGUCCGAGUUGUAAUUUGUAGAGGAUGCUUCGGCGUGGGCUCCGGUCUAAGUUCCUUGGAACAGGACGUCACAGAGGGUGAGAAUCCCGUAUGUGAUCGGUUGCCUUUGCCUUGUGAAGCUCCUUCGACGAGUCGAGUUGUUUGGGAAUGCAGCUCUAAAUGGGAGGUAAAUUUCUUCUAAAGCUAAAUACUGGCCAGAGACCGAUAGCGCACAAGUAGAGUGAUCGAAAGAUGAAAAGCACUUUGGAAAGAGAGUCAAAAAGUACGUGAAAUUGUUGAAAGGGAAGCGCUUGCAACCAGACCUGCCUGCAGUUGCUCAUCCGGGCUUUCGCCCGGUGCACUCUUCUGCUGUCAGGCCAGCAUCGGUUCGGGCGGUCGGAUAAAGGCUUCGGGAAUGUAGCUCCUCUCGAGGAGUGUUAUAGCCCGUUGCGAAAUGCGGCCAGCCUGAACUGAGGUCCGCGCUUCGGCUAGGAUGCUGGCGUAAUGGUUGUAAGCGG
rnacentral:rRNA from 1 species